rnacentral:rRNA from 1 species
AUUGAACGCUGGCGGCAUGCCUUACACAUGCAAGUCGAACGGCAGCACGGGAGCAAUCCUGGUGGCGAGUGGCGAACGGGUGAGUAAUAUAUCGGAACGUGCCCAUUAGUGGGGGAUAGCCCGGCGAAAGCCGGAUUAAUACCGCAUGAGACCUGAGGGUGAAAGCGGGGGAUCGCAAGACCUCGCGCUAGUGGAGCGGCCGAUAUCAGAUUAGCUAGUUGGUGGGGUAAAGGCCUACCAAGGCAACGAUCUGUAGUUGGUCUGAGAGGACGACCAGCCAAACUGGGACUGAGACACGGCCCAGACUCCUACGGGAGGCAGCAGUGGGGAAUUUUGGACAAUGGGCGCAAGCCUGAUCCAGCAAUGCCGCGUGCAGGAAGAAGGCCUUCGGGUUGUAAACUGCUUUUGUCAGGGAAGAAAUCCUCUGGGUUAAUACCUCGGGGGGAUGACGGUACCUGAAGAAUAAGCACCGGCUAACUACGUGCCAGCCGCCGCCGUAACAC